rnacentral:rRNA from 1 species
GACGAACGCUGGCGGCGUGCUUAACACAUGCAAGUCGAACGGAAAGGCCCUGCUUUUGUGGGGUGCUCGAGUGGCGAACGGGUGAGUAACACGUGAGUAACCUGCCCUUGACUUUGGGAUAACUUCAGGAAACUGGGGCUAAUACCGGAUAGGAGCUCCUGCUGCAUGGUGGGGGUUGGAAAGUUUCGGCGGUUGGGGAUGGACUCGCGGCUUAUCAGCUUGUUGGUGGGGUAGUGGCUUACCAAGGCUUUGACGGGUAGCCGGCCUGAGAGGGUGACCGGCCACAUUGGAACUGAGAUACGGCCCAGACUCGUACGGGAGGCAGCGGUGGGGAAGAUUACACAAGGGGCGGAGGCCUAAUGCAACAACGCCGCGUGCGGGAUGACGGCCUUCGGGUUGUAAACCGAUUUCGCCUGUGACGAAGCGUGAGUGACGGUAAUGGGUAAAGAAGCACCGGCUAACUACGUG